rnacentral:rRNA from 1 species
UUCGGGAUGCCGGCGAGUGGCGAACGGGUGAGUAAUACGUGGAAACCUAUCCCGAGGUGGGGGAUAACAGCUGGAAACGGCUGCUAAUACCGCAUAAGCCCUAGGGGGAAAGAUUUAUCGCCUUGGGAGGGGUCCACGUCGGAUUAGCUAGUUGGUAGGGUAAAGGCCUACCAAGGCGACGAUCCGUAGCUGGUCUGAGAGGAUGGACAGCCACACUGGGACUGAGACACGGCCCAGACUCCUACGGGAGGCAGCAGUGGGGAAUAUUGCGCAAUGGGGGAAACCCUGACGCAGCGAUGCCGCGUGGGUGAAGAAGGCCUUCGGGUUGUAAAGCCCUUUCAGUGGGGAAGAUAGUGACGGUACCCACAGAAGAAGCUCCGGCUAACUCCGUGCCAGCAGCCGCGGUAAUACAGAGGGGGCGAGCGUUGUUCGGAAUUACUGGGCGUAAAGGGCGCGUAGGCGGUGCAACAAG